AUGAGGCUACUUUGGUUGUAUCAACUGAAAAGCAUUUGAGUAUCAACUCAAAUAGACCAGUAAAGGCCGUAUUAUUAAUUCCGUUGAGACAAACCACUUUGUAUAAAUUAAUUAAUCACUCAUAAAGGAAAAUAAUUUGAAGGCACAAUUUAGUCCUGAAGGACACAACAAAUUAAUAUGAACCCAAUCCAACCAGAUGAAAAACACCAACCAUUGGAAUAUGGCGAUCGGCUGAUAAAAAGGGCAAAAGUUAAUACAAAUUGAUAAUCCAGAUGACAGCUGAUUUCGAUGGGGUCUUUCAACUGUUCAUAACUGCAGCUAACUGUCAAUGAAUCGAAAGGUGCCACUCAUGAUGUGUGUGUCUGUCUGUCCAAGAUGAUGACGAUCUGUUGCUCUCUCGAUCUCUCUCUCUUAAUGUUUGGUACUCUUAAUGCUGAUGCUGGUGCUGGUGGGUGAGAUCAGUUAAGGUUGGGUUACUUGGUUUUGCUUUUGUCGCAAGGGAGGAUUCAAGAUUGGGUGGGAUUUUGCUCGCAUCCAACUUGUUACAGAUAAAUAAACAAAGAAUGGAAACAAAUUUUUUAAGAUAAUGAUAAUGAUGAUGAUGACGACGAUGAAGAUGAAGAUGAAGAAGAAGGUAGCAAAAAAAUGUUGUGAAAAGCAAGAAAGAAAAGAAAGAUUUUGUUACUUCUUUCAAUUUUCCUUUUUUUCUUCUUCUCUUUACAUUCUCUUUGAAAGUCGCUACAAAUUGGCCUGAAUUUUUAUUUACCUUUCUUCUUUACUCUCUUGAUCUGGUCAUUUCUCAGUCCAUUCAUCAUCAUCAUCAUUAUCAUCUUGUUGAUCAACAGAUUGACUUACAAAAAUGAGAGGAAAUAACCUUGAAAAUGUUAUAAUUUUGUUUCUUUUUCAUUUUGAGCUUGAGGAUGAAAUUGGAUGAAGACAAGUUUACCUGUAAUACAUGCACUUUCAUCUUCAUCUUGCUUGAAAUAUUUAGAUUGAAAUUGCGUUUGAAAGGUAAAUUGUUACCUUUACAAAUGCCAAUUGACCAAAACAGUAGAUUCAUUCCUGUGCUUAGUCAAGGUUAUCCCAAUUUUAAUCAUUUUCACUAGCUUAUCAAAUUAUUUACCUGUAAUACAGUAAAACAACGCCAAAUUUGACCUCAACCUUGGUCAAUAUUUCUUCUCUCUCUCUUCAAUAGACUGACUCACGCCCUUUCAUCAGCAUCAUGUUAUCCCUCCUUGAUCAUCAUCGUCAUCCAUCCUCUUAAUAGUAUAAUAUCAUUUUUCAUUUUCAACUAAAAUCUAUUGAUUACUAUUAAUGAUAUAUUGAUGAAUAUACUUUACCCAAGUAACCUUAGAAGUAAACAAGAGAAAUGAGACUUUUCCCUGUUAACAGAUGAUUAUCAUUUUUUGCUUUCAAACGUCCAACAAAAGAUACCUUUUUAUUCAUCAUAACCUUCAUGGUGGCCUAAGCCAAUUUGUCUCUACCUUAAUCAUCAUUAUCAUCAGGCCUUACUGAUGGUCUAAUCAUCAUAUCAACAUUGAUUUUGCUUCAUUUCAAUUUUUACCUUCAACCUCAAUAGUGAUUAGCUUUGCUUAUCAUUAAUAUGUAUAUUGGAUUAGUUGAGCUUUAAUUUUUCAUUAUUAUUUUUUUAUUUUCAGGGUUUUCACUUGUAUUUGGAUUAUCCAGCUUCUUUCCCGUAUUUCAGACACAAUCAAAUGGGGAUGAUUUACCUUCAUUGAUUCAGUUAUUAAUUCAGAUUAUAAGAUAAUUAAUCAUUCUACCUGUUCUCCUUCAAUAUGGUUAUGCAAACAGAAACAAAAAUAACUAAACUUGACGGUUUAGUCUCAAAUGUUUACUUUUUAAAAUAUCUAUUCAAUUGGUUGGUUAGAUGAUCAAAAGGUGCGAAAAAUUGACUAUUAAGAUUAACAUUAUGUCAACGCUAUUUAUCCAUGAUUAUCACUCUUGUCCUUAAAUGUGUUCAAGAUUUUUAAGGCAAUGAAAGCAACAAGUAAUUAAGAUAACCGAAGCAAUUUGGAGACAAUAACAAGUCUUGGACAUUUUAAUCUGUUGAUGUCAUGAAUGGACAAAGAAAUUACUCAUCGGGAUUCACAAUUUGACGAUGAAAUGUUAAUUCAAGGUGGAUUGAUUGUAGGCCAAACAAGCAAUUACCACAUCUAAAUUGUGACCUGGAUUAGGAAUAUAUUAUUGAUUCGUGAAUAAAUAAGCCUAGAUAAACGCCAUUAGCUAUUAAGACUAUUGUGAGCGUCAAAUUGUAUUUAUUUAAACAUGAUUCAUAGUUGAAUGUCUAAUCAAGCAAAAAACAAAUCCAGUUAAUCUUGAAAUUAAGCAAUACGAUAAAUAUGACCAGAAAAGGAAAGAUUUUAUUGAAAUCUUCAUUUGUAUUGAUUGAUAUCUAUUAAGCUUGUCUUGGGCUCAAUGAUUAACUCAUGUACUUUUUUAAUUAUUGUAUCAACUCGGAAAUGAAAUACAAUUUAAGAGUCUUUAAGGCUCACAUUUACAUGCUUUUCAACUGAUGACAGAGCUAAUUGUCACAAUAAGCCUACAUAUUGUAAUAAAGUCUUGCAAACGUUAAUUUGCUUUAA